rnacentral:lncRNA from 1 species
AUGAGCCAUUCGCAGUUUCACUGUACCGGCCGUGCGUACUUAGACAUGCAUGGCUUAAUCUUUGAGACAAGCAUAUGCUACUGGCAGGAUCAACCAGGUAGGAGACGGUGGGACAGCGGGCCGGGUGGACCCCAGCGCAAGGCGUGCGUGCUUGCAGGGCGGUUGACAGCGGGGUGGGGGCGGAGGCGCACCCCAGGGACCCAGCGGCCCACCACACCCGCAGCGAGGACCGACGACGGGCCGCCCGACAACUCGACCGAGGGCACAAGCGGCGCGGGGCCGCACCGCGGCGUCGCGGAGGGACGAGGGGGGAAGCCCCAAGCUCCCCCACCACCACACCCCAGACACGGACCUCCCCCUCGACGGCCCGGGGCACCGAGCAGUCACGUCGGGACCGGCCGACACGCGCGCGCCCUCGCUCGAGCGGACAGGAGAGGGGUGGCAACGAGGGCCAAGGCCCAAGGCCACUCCCCCCCACCCACCCAGGAGCGGCACGGCUAUGACGGCCGGCCCGCAGCGGCUAGCCGGGCCCCGACUCGCGCUCAGGUGAGCUCAGCAGAGCCGGGAGGGAGGGGCACGCGGCGGGGGGGUGGGGGGGUGGCAGAAGGCCACCCCUCGACCACACGCAACGACACCGGCGGACAGGCGGGGGCAAGGAAGCGGCGGCGGGCACGGAGCGGGGCCGCAGCGGGCCCAGGAAAGCGAGACGCACCAGGACGCCGGUCCGGGGGUCGGCAGAUGGGGACCAGACAGACGGGAGGUCAGACAGACGAGCGGGAGCGAGGAGGGCGAACGUGGGAGCGGCCGGCAUCGAGAGAGAUGCCACAAAGGGACGGUGGCGGAGGGGGCGGCCGCAGGCCUCCAACGAGGUGGGGAGGCACAGGCCGCAUUAGGCAAAAGAGCAGCGCUUGGCCCCCACCGCGGGGGCCAGCGCACCCCUCGCGCGAGGGCGGCUCUUGCCCACACGCUGUGGCAAGUAGCGCCGGCAGCUACUGCCUUGCAGACUUCAGGAGGGGCGGCGGCUGGGGGGUCCAGGUACCCCAAGGCCCCCCUCUCAGAUCGCUAGAGAAGGCUUUCUCACCGAGGGCGCGUCGUGCCCCACACACCAUCGCUCGCCCCUUCGGGGACCCACGGGAGUGGGAACACUCCCAAAAAGUGGGAAGUCAGAAGGGGGGGGGGUCUGCGGUAUGGGUAAAGCACACAGCCCAUGUGAGCGUCCACGGUCAGAGCCGGGAGGGCAAGAGUCUGUGCUGCCACCAGGCUUGCCUUUCAGACUUUUCCACGUGGGUGGAGGGAUGCCACGUCCGGAAAGCCAGACGGGGACCCCCCCUUCACAUCUCCCGGCCCACCGCGGUCGCUCUCACGCCCACAUGCAGCCUUCCCGGUCAAGGGAGAAGGAUGGGGCGUGCCGCUCAAGGGCCAAGGGCUUCCCUCACUGGCACACAGUGAGGGAGACCCCAUGGCAAGGGGUCCACCUGAGCCCCUCCCGGGGAGGGGACACAAGCUUCCCCUGCCUUACCGUCUCGACCCCCUCCCCUGAGCUUUAGGAAGCUGCUCGUGGGGCACGCCACCACCACAGUGGGGACCCGAGGGGACUCACCGCUGGGAGAGGAAAACGACACCACCGCUCGGCCUCGGGCAUCUGACAGGCAACCCGGAGUACUCCAGGGGCACCACAGAGGACCAGGGGAGGCACGCUCACGCACCCGCAGGGAUGCGAAGCAUGGCAGCGAGGGAGGCCUCCCCCCCACUUUGGGGAGGGACCGCUCGCAAGGCACACGCCAAGGCGGCAAAGCGAGAAUGCCUGCUGCGUCCCAAAGGACCCAGGCCCCCCCCCCUGACUGACACCCGAAGGCAGCAGGGCGGGAGACCAGAGGUCAGGCUGGAGGCCGCACCCCUGCCUUCCCCCACACCACCCGCAGGUGGGGGAGGAGCAGCGAGGGGCCCGCGACAGAAUGAGAGGCGCGGCCCAGCUCACCAUGAGCGGCCAUCCCUCAUCUGGCGCGGCUUAAGCCCAAGCCCAGGAGAGCGCCACAUCACCACAUCGAUCAGUCCUGGCAGAGCCAGGGAAGAGCCCAGAAGAGGGGAGGGAGGGCCAGCAAAGACAAUCACCACGGGGGCCUGCUUCAGCUUCACCGGCACCCCCUCCUCCUCCUCCCCUUCCUCUCUCAGGGGAGAGACAGCGGCUGACAACCCCGGGAGGGAGAACGCCUGACACGUGGCACGGAGCCAACAGGGUGGGGUUGUCCCAGCCGAGCCGCCGGGUGCCCGCAGCAGGGAGGCACACAGGGUAGAAGACCCCACAGGGCCACGCGCCCUGCCGCCCUCGGGUCAGCCAGAGACCGGAGGAGACACCGCAGCACGGGCCAGCUGGAUGCACAAGUGAGAGCCGGCGCACAGGCCCAGGCGAGCGGCCCCCACGCGGGGUGCAAAGGGCAGGGUCAGGCCU